rnacentral:rRNA from 1 species
GAUGAACGCUGGCGGCGUGCCUAAUACAUGCAAGUCGAGCGAACGGACGAGAAGCUUGCUUCUCUGAUGUUAGCGGCGGACGGGUGAGUAACACGUGGAUAACCUACCUAUAAGACUGGGAUAACUUCGGGAAACCGGAGCUAAUACCGGAUGAUAUUUUGAACCGCAUGGUUCAAAAGUGAAAGACGGUCUUGCUGUCACUUAUAGAUGGAACCGCGCUGCAUUAGCUAGUUGGUAAGGUAACGGCUUACCAAGGCAACGAUGCAUAGCCGACCUGAGAGGGUGAUCGGCCACACUGGAACUGAGACACGGUCCAGACUCCUACGGGAGGCAACAGUAGGGAAUCUUCCGCAAUGGGCGAAAGCCUGACGGAGCAACGCCGCGUGAGUGAUGAAGGUCUUCGGAUCGUAAAACUCUGUUAUUAGGGAAGAACAUAUGUGUAAGUAACUGUGCACAUCUUGACGGUACCUAAUCAGAAAGCCACGGCUAACUACGUG